rnacentral:lncRNA from 1 species
CUAUGAUCCAUUGGUGACGAUGCUACUCUACGACAAGGAGACCCUGGGGUAUGAAGACAUAGUCUCGAUGCUGUGGUACAACAAAUAGUGAGAGAAGCUGACCAAGGAAGGUGCUCCCCAGGAAGGCUUGGCCAUGGGAGAGAGAUCAAAAAGAGGAAGGAAAAGAGGCAAGUCAAGGGGAUGGUCAAAGUCUCGAAAGAGCAGGAGCAAGAAGUAAGCCAGGCGCUAUAAGUGCAAUGAGAUCGGGCACUUCAAACGAGAUUACCUGCAGUGGAAGAACAUGAAGGGAGA